CGAGUAAGUCAGAUGGUCGCGGACGUGAUUAUUCACGGACGAGGAAAGUCCGAGCUCCAUAGGGCAAGGUGCUGGGUAAUACCCAGUGGAGGCGACUCCAAGGAAAGUGCAACAGAAAUAGACCGCCAGAGAAAUCUGGUAAGGAUGGAAAGGUGAGGUAAGAGCUCACCAGCAACUAGGCGACUAGUUGGCUCUGUAAACCCCACCCGGAGCAAGACCAAGUAGGGACUAAAAAGCGGCUGCCCGCCGUGUCCCGUGGUAGGUCGCUUGAAUCUACUGGCAACAGUAGAUCUAGAAAGAUGGCUGUCAAAUACAGAACUCGGCUUAUAGAUUUACUCGUUUC
rnacentral:RNase_P_RNA from 1 species